rnacentral:rRNA from 1 species
UGACACAGGUGCUGCAUGGCUGUCGUCAGCUCGUGUCGUGAGGUGUUGGGUUAAGUCCGUAACGAGCGCAACCCUUGUCCUUAGUUACCAGCACGUUAUGGUGGGCACUCUAAGGAGACUGCCGGUGACAAACCGGAGGAAGGUGGGGAUGACGUCAAGUCAUCAUGGCCCUUACGGCCUGGGCUACACACGUGCUACAAUGGUCGGUACAAAGGGUUGCCAAGCCGCGAGGUGGAGCUAAUCCCAUAAAACCGAUCGUAGUCCGGAUCGCAGUCUGCAACUCGACUGCGUGAAGUCGGAAUCGCUAGUAAUCGUGAAUCAGAAUGUCACGGUGAAUACGUUCCCGGGCCUU